rnacentral:misc_RNA from 1 species
AUCUACAGCGCCACUCUCUAUCUGGCCUCUCACCUCCCCGCGUGCUGUCAGUUUUCCUGAUACCGCUGUGAUGCCGGCAGCCUACGCCCUGGCAAAGGAGUGUCAGCUGCUCCGCGGUGAUAUCGAGGGCGUGCUCUCGCUCGCUGCCCAGCUCCUCCUCCACACAACCGCAGCUGCAUCAUCAUCUGCCAACGGGCCGCCUACUGCCCCUGCGUCGUCAUCGGCGCCGGCCACAUCUUUUCUCGGCCCCGUCGUGGGCUCCAUUCUCACGGACGCCCACGUCCGCUCACUUCUUCUCAACACCCUCGUGCGCGUCCUUGUGCCGGCGCGGCGGCAGAAGGCACUGCUCGACGACAACAAGUACGUGCAAGCCGCCAACAUGGUGGCACUGCAGCAGCAGAGCACCAACGAUGCAAGACCGGCGAACUCAGUUAACAGGGCUGCGGACGUGUCGCAGCGAUACCGCGUAGGGCGUGUUGUCGGUGUUGUGCCGAAGCCAGGCCCUAUGGCGGCGGAGGCGAGCCAUGGCAAGAGUGCGUCUGCAACUUGCGCUGACCUUGCGGCGGCAGCGGCUGACGAAGGUCAGCGGUGGCUGUUGGCCGUCUACGUUGGCGAGUGUGUCGAGCCCUUUGCCGUGUCGGCCAUCGCGGAGGAUAUCUUCACCGAGGCGGAGCACCGCGUCUUUGUGCAAUCAGCGCUGUCCACGAACAGAGAGGAUGGCAGCCGACGCGCAAGCGUGCUGCCGAGUCAGCAGCCGGCGCUGCUGUCUGCCGAGACGGCCGCCACGGUGCAGCAGAGCAUCAAAGACAUCCGUGUAGCAUUACAGUUGAUGCAGGCGGCGGACAAGACAGUAUCGGUGGCAGGAAUGGAGGCAGCCACAGCGACGCUGAUUCAGCGCGCCAGUGGUCUAAAGCGGCCGCACGCUGCGUCAGACGACGACGGAGACAUCAACAGCCACAAGAGGCGCACGGGGGCGGCAUCGAUCGGAGAGGACAGCGACGGGCUCGGCACGUACUUCGGCAACGGCGCCUCGUCGCAAGCCAUACGCAUGGCCCGUCUCUCAGAGGAUUUGGCGGCACGAGGCGCGCAGCUUCAGCAGCUCCGCCAACUGCUCCAGCAGAAGGAUCAGGAGGUGAAGGCCGCUCUUCAGCAGCAGCAGCAACAGGAGGCGCGGCACCGCAGCGAGAUCGAUGUGUGGCGCGCUAAGGUGGAGGAACAGAGCCGCACUCGCGAGCGUGUUGCGAAGGAGUCGCGGGAGUCGCUAGAGCAGCGAGACCGACUGCUCGAGGAGGCGAACACGAAGCUGCGUCGGCUGGCCGGCAUGGCCACCAAGUACAAGCAGGUUGUAGACGCCGUAGCGGCGCUGCUAAAACGGAACGGCGGCGGCGAAGCGAGUGACGGCACGGUCAUGACACCAGAAGACAUUCUGAUAGCGCUGCAGGGCAAGAAGUGCCUGUAGCCGCUCACGCAAUCAACCUCUCUCCCCUCGCUCCACCCUUCGCGCGCUGAGGUGUGCCUCUCUGCCAACGUGUGUGUCUGUGUCUAGGCUUUCGUGCUGGUGUCGUGUGUGUUUGUGUGUGCGUGUGUGUGUGUGUCUUUGAGCUGGUCAGGAAAGGAGGUGCGUGUGAUGGAGGUGGGAGGACGGUGGCGGAGGCUGGUGCGCUUACCGCUGUCAGUGGCUGGCUUUGCUCUACCCUCCCCCCUCCCCUCCUCUCCCCUCCCUCGUGGUGUUGCGUUGUGCGUGUGGGUCUGUGCAUCGCUAAGCCCCAUCACGGUAAAAGACGUGCAUGCAGUAAUAUGCACACACACACACACGCACUCAU